rnacentral:tRNA from 1 species
GUGGGCAUGGCUCAGUGGUAGAGUGCGUGCUUAGCAGGCACAAGGACCCGGGUUCAAUCCCCAGUACCUCCA